GACUAUUCGGACCCUAUAUAUUUUUUGUAACCCUAAUUCCUUUCAUUCUUCCUUGAGAAGCUACUAAUCUCUCUAUCUCCUUCACCGUCACUUCUUUUCUAAAACCUAGAUGUUGUUCAAGGUAAGAAUGUAUCUGUUACAUUAAUGCCCUGGUGAUGGAAGAUUUGGAUUGUCGGAGAAAGCAUACGGGCUCCAUAGCGGUUCAUCGCAACAAGAUCGAUUCAAAAGUUCAAGGGUAUGUGUUUGCGUUUUGGAUUGGAAUUGAAUCUCAGUUUUUCGUGCUUAGUUGUGUGUGAGAGUCUAUGAUGUUUUUCAACGGUUCCGAUUGUUCAACUUUUGGUAAUCUGAUAAAGCUAAGGAGAUUCAAGGAUUCAGUCCAUGUAAUAUGUAAUGGUAUGUGUGUUUUUUCUUUGUUUUUUUAACAAUUAUGAUCUGAAUCAUCGAACGUUUUUCCAUGAGUUAUCUGAUGGAAAAAAAUACAUGGCGUUAUUAUCAAUAGCUUCAGUUGAAUAAGAUGUACAUAUUAGUAUAAAGCAGGCUGCUGAUGUUCUUCAAACCAAGCAGAAUGGGAUGAUUCAUCGAGAUUACAUCAUGUGAGUGAAGUUAUUUUUUUCUUUCAACUUGGCGAUUGUAUCUAAUUUAACAGUUUUCAUUCCAAAAUUUUAACUUCCUUAUGCAGUUUGCAGGGUCUUGUAGGUGGCGGGUCAAGUGAGUUCAAGCUCUAAUGGAUUUUUUUUUUUUUUUGUUAUGGAUUGUGAUGGUCCAAGUUAUCUACCCACAAUCACUAUUUUGUUCAUUUUCAAAAGUUUUUUUUAAAUAAUUAAUGCGUGAUGGGUAACUUGAGCCAUAUCUCAGCUAACUUAAUAUAAUAUACAUACACAUGUGAUUUAAGUUUAGAGUCGUAACUCACUUAUAGAGAACAAGAUGCCUGAAAAUAUUCUACAUGUGCAUACUGACCGGAAGAUUUGUGGGUUAUAUUUAUUGUGGAUUUUCUGAAAGAAUCAUGAAUAAUUAAUUUAAUAAUUUUAUAUUGUUGUGUGCAUCUAAACAUUAAGUACUUAUUGCAGUUUUGACUUUGUUAUCAAACAGAAUGGGUGUCCUUUCUUCGGGAUUUUGAAGGAUCCAAGUAAUCCUGAACGGGUGCUCUAUUUAUCAUAGUCUUUCAUUGGGUAAAUAGAUAAUCACUAUGGCCGACUGAAAGGGAUAAUCAUGAUCUGGAGAUGAAUCGAUAACUGUUCCAUUCUCAUCGUUCUUCAUUUUCAUUCGGGAGUUACCAUAGCUUAAUACUUCCGAGACAUGGGCUACACGGCAGACUCUACGUCACAUUGGGUAGAAGCAUUGCUUGAAGUUUCUGGUCGUCGGAAGACAGAGGAAGUUUCUAUGACUACAAAACGAUUAAAAGAGUUACUCGAAUCGCGAAAAGCUUCUUCACAAUAUACAUUCGGAAAUAACAAUGGUUCAGGAAGUAUGUCAACAUUAAAAAGUUGCAUUUUUGCAAAGAAGCACAUAACAACUACUAUCACAACCCUCCAUCGUCUUACUAUGCUUGGUUUGUGCUCGAAUCAUGUCUUUCUUUAAAAGAUGUUCUGAUGCAAAGUCUGAUUAUUAUACAAUUAGCCUACAAGGUUCCUAUACAUUGUAGUUAAAGGACAAUUUACAAACUUCACUAAAAGUUUGACUUUAAAGGCCCAACAAAAAGAGUUUGAACUUCAAUGUGGACAAACCAGCGUUAAUGACACUUUCUAUCUUCUUGAACUCUUAUGAUCAUCUUAUAGACAAGGUAAGAUGCUAUGAGGUCAACUGGUCCAUGAAGCAUAUGCUUCUUGCAGAAAGGUCUUUUUUAAUCUUUAUUUUUAUUUGGUUUAUUUCACUUUUAUUAGGGCUGGAAAUCAUGACCUAUGGUUCACAAAAUGCGUUUAUUUGGAUUAAAUAAACAGUUGUACAUAUGGCUCCAUUUCUACUCAAAUUGUACAACAUGGUUUGUUUAUGAGUUUAUAUUGUUCAAUUAAAGAGUGUUGUGUGCUUGUGUGUAUAUAUGAAUUUCUCAAAAUGCUUAUCUUCAUUGUUUUUUCCUUCAUCGACCUAUUAUAUUACAUCUAUGCUUAACUUGUCCAGGUCAGUAUCUCCGAUAUUUGCUCCUUUACCGCCCGAGUAGCCAACAAUAGUACUACCCAAAGCAAGGGCCAUGGACGACAACUAGAAAGUUGAUAAUCUUAGCGUCUCUCUUACUAUGUUCUUGUUAUUUAGAUUGAUAUGUUGGUGUAUCACUUUGACAGUUUCUAGAAAUUUUGAUAUCUAUGUGAGAUUGAGGUCUAAAUUAUUAUUUUUUUUAUGUAGAGAUUUUCAGUUGAACAAUUUUGUAUUGGAGGAGGAUGUGCUAGCUCAUUGAACAUCAUUAGGGUAAUUUGCUCUUGAGUAGAUGCAUGCAUCUUUUAAGAAGCUGGUGGUUGGCAUAUCGAAGGUUUGAGAACAAGAAAAGUUCUCUUUGCAAUGAGCUCUUGCAGCUUUUCAAGUUCUCAGAGCAUUGUUAGCCACUGAUGGCUCAAUAUGCAUAAUUUAAAAAGGAAUACUCAGUAGAGAUCUGUGAGUGGUCUGGAUCAAGUUGGGACUUGGGAACUGUUGCUGAUAUAGAAGCCACCACAGCGUGAUGACUAUAUUUCAACUUCUGAGGGAGGCUGAAGAAAUUACUGCAAAACUUAAGGAAUAUUAGAUUAAAAAUCUACCUAGACCUAGACAAGUGGAUUUUUAUCAAAGGAGGCCCCUAUAUGCUAGAUACUCCACACCCUUGCAGUGAUCCAAGACAGUCAUGUUGUCGUAAGAGAAGUGGAAAGGAAGCUUCUUGAGUUGCAACAAGUGCGUAUAUGUGUAUCUAAAAGGAUAAUGUUAACCGAAUACUUUAUGUGUAUAUAAAAGGCGUAUAUGUGUAUAUAAAAGGAUAAUGUUAAUGGAAUACUUUAUGUGUAUAUAAAAGGAUAAUGUUAACAGAAUACUUUAUUUAAUCCAUGAUUU